rnacentral:misc_RNA from 1 species
UCCCUUGCCGACGCUGAGAGAAAUUGUUUGGGUUUACGGUGACUAAUUCCCUUUUCUCGCCUUAAACUGUGACACCGGCCCAUGAAUAACCACCCAUCAUAUUCUUAGGUUGUGGACUGUGGUGGCAGGAUGGGUGAGGAUCUGCUAUCUCUCAAGUGGAAUAAUCACAAGCCGGCAUUCUUUCAUCUUCUUCGAGUGUUGAGGGAGAAGGGUUGUUAUACAGAUGUAACUCUGGCGUGUGGGUCCAAGUUCUUCGCCGUUCACCGUCUGGUGUUGAUGGCGUGUAGUGACUUCUUCAGUGAGGUGUUUGACCACACACAGUGCCAGAAGCCGGUCAUUGUGUUGAAGGACAUCAAGAGUCAUGAGCUGGAGGCCCUGUUGGACUACAUGUACCUGGGGGAGGUGGACGUGCAGCAGGCCGACUUGCCCGGCCUCAUAAAGGCCGCCGAGUGUCUCAGGAUCAAGGGUCUCGCCGUCCCGGACGAGGACCCCGCGCAACUCGCGAGGGUCGAGCCGCCGACCGGGGGAGAGCGGCCGGCCAAGCGCCGCAGACAGGAGAGGGAGACGAGAGAGAGCGACAGAGGAGGGACGAGGUCUCACUCGGCGCAGGACAGGACGCCUCACGGUGCGCCGGCCGACGACGCGGCGCAGUACGCCCUCCACGGGCCGGAGGUCGUGCAGGGGGACGGGGAGGACGAGGCCGGCUGCGGCAAGUGCGCAGUGCCCCAGGCCGACGACGAGUCCCCUCACCCGGCCGUCCACGAGGCCGUCCAGCGCGCGGACGGCCUCCACCUCCAGCAGGAGACGGAGCCGUCCGGGAGGCUGCACGAGGCUCGCCUGCACCACGACCCCCGCACCCAACAGGAGGCCAGGCUACAGCACGAGCCACAGGACCAACAAGUGUAUACACAAACUGCCCCAGAAAUCAAAACAGAACAUUGCGAAAUAAAUGAAGAUAUAGAUAACGGAGGAUUAAAAAGUGAAAUAACGGAGAUACGCGGAGACCCGAUGAACGAGGCCUCUGCGGGGGGAGAGUUCUCCCACUUCUUGUCCGUAGAAGAAAACCUCGCACACCACAUGUUCCAACAGGCACACCAAGCGGGGCCUUCAGGACUACACAGAGCUGUGGGUCGUGAGGGCACUACAGACAUGGGUGGUGAUGAUGGUAAUCGUGGUGGUGGUGUUGGAGGCAGCAUGUACCCCACUCACCUCUUGGGGGACGUGGCCCCCGAGGGAGCGUCGACUCUCGCCAACCAAUCGGGUGUGGCGUUGACCGAGGGACCGGUCAUACGGGACGAACAGGGGCGCCUGUGCUACCGCUGCGUCUACUGUCCUCGCAUAGACUCCGACAAGAGCAAGUGGCGGCGUCAUCUACGAACACACACGGGGGAAAAACCUUACCAGUGUACUAAGUGUCCUUACCGAGCCACCACCAAACACGCCGUCGUCCGCCACGACAAGUUCAGACAUUCUGUGGAGGGCGUCGCACUCUAGUGCACUCAAUACUGGGUGAAUACAUCCUAGCUUAUGAGGGCGUCGCACCCUUCCCUACCACGCACUCUAUACUGGGCUGGCGCGGUGGAUCAAGGGGGCGUCUACCGUUGUCCGUACUGUCCCAGGGUCGACCAGUAUGAGAGCAAGUGGCUGCGACACCUGCGUAUACACACGGGGGAGAAGCCUUACUUUUGUUCACUCUGUGACUUCCGA